rnacentral:lncRNA from 1 species
GUGCGGGCCGUGAGGGGUGUGCGCGCUUGAGCCGGAGCGGGGCUCGCCCCUCGUCGGCUCCCGCCGCCCAGCCGGUGAUCGCUCUCCGGCCGUCCCCGGCACCCUCGGCCCCCCACGGCGGUUGGUCCGGGCGGGGGAAGGAGAAAGUGAGACUCGGUGUCAUCACCAAUCCAUCGCCAGAAGGGGAGGAAACUGGAAUCCAGCAGCGGCGAGCAGCAGCUGGACGGUAACAUCUGGAAAUGGAAAGCCGACCUCCCCCUCCUCCUCCACCUCCUCCUCCUCCUCCUCCUCCUCCUCCUCCUCCUCUCACCCAGGAUCACUUCCAAAACCACUUGGCCUUCAGCCCCUGCCUCGGCCAGAGGUUUCAUUUUUAACUGAAUAUUUACGAAAGCUGAAAGCGUGCGAGGGGGGUGGGGUGGAAAUAGCGGCUGCUUCUUUUCCAAGGAUUUAUUUAAUGGGGAUGUGUUCAAGGCAAGACCGAAUUCAGAAGGAUAUCGACGUCGUGAUCCAGAAGUCCAGAGCUGAGGACUGCCUGUUUGCAGAUUUCAGAUACUCAGACUCCACCUUUACUUUUACCUAUGUUGGCGGCCCCAGAAGGGCCCGCCUGGCAGGACGACUGAGCAAGUCCUUGGAAAACCAGAGAUAUUAGAGCGGUGAAUCGCGCUGGUCACGUUGGACACCUGCGCGUUAGGAGAUUCUGGAGCCAGAGGGAGAGACCCCAGAAACUCCCCGGUCGGCGACCCAGCCCGAGACGCCUGGGGUCCCAAGGGAAGCUGAACGCCCGGUGGGCUCCCGGGAUGGUUCUUCCGGUUCUUUGUGCCGCCUUCACCCAGUGAAGGAGCCUGUAUCCACCCUGCCCAGUCGCUGUUGGGCUGCUGCGGAGCUUCCGCUGCCAUCUUCGGAUCCUGUGUUCCGCCCGGGGCUCCACCAGGGCAGGGAUGGUGCAGAAUGGGGAAAUGGAGAGAGAACCUGAAAGAGCCCCAAACUCGAGGACCUAUUGCUCCCCAAGAAUAACAUCUUCCAGAACUAGACAGAAAACUAGGCGUCUGGGAACCCUGAAAUCCUUGGAGGAGUAGAUCAUCAUGACCCUCUGUGUUCCUUUUGGCAAAUGACUUGCUUCCAUUGUUUGUUUGUUCAAUUGUCUGUUUGUUAAAUAAAUAAAA